CCUGGUCUUGACAUCCACAGAACAUUCCAGAGAUGGAUUGGUGCCUUCGGGAACUGUGAGACAGGUGCUGCAUGGCUGUCGUCAGCUCGUGUUGUGAAAUGUUGGGUUAAGUCCCGCAACGAGCGCAACCCUUAUCCUUUGUUGCCAGCGGUCCGGCCGGGAACUCAAAGGAGACUGCCAGUGAUAAACUGGAGGAAGGUGGGGAUGACGUCAAGUCAUCAUGGCCCUUACGACCAGGGCUACACACGUGCUACAAUGGCGCAUACAAAGAGAAGCGACCUCGCGAGAGCAAGCGGACCUCAUAAAGUGCGUCGUAGUCCGGAUUGGAGUCUGCAACUCGACUCCAUGAAGUCGGAAUCGCUAGUAAUCGUGGAUCAGAAUGCCACGGUGAAUACGUUCCCGGGCCUUGUACACACCGCCCGUCACACCAUGGGAGUGGGUUGCAAAAGAAGUAGGUAGCUUAACCUUCGGGAGGGCGCUUACCACUUUGUGAUUCAUGACUGGGGUGAAGUCGUAACAAGGUAACCGUAGGGGAACCUGC
rnacentral:rRNA from 1 species